CAGUAGCCGCGGUAAUACGUAGGUCCCGAGCGUUGUCCGGAUUCAUUGGGCGUAAAGCGAGCGCAGGCGGUUAGAUAAGUCUGAAGUUAAAGGCUGUGGCUUAACCAUAGUACGCUUUGGAAACUGUUUAACUUGAGUGCAGAAGGGGAGAGUGGAAUUCCAUGUGUAGCGGUGAAAUGCGUAGAUAUAUGGAGGAACACUGGUGGCGAAAGCGGCUCUCUGGUCUGUAACUGACGCUGAGGCUCGAAAGCGUGGGGAGCAAACAGGAUUAGAUACCCCAGUAGUCCCUGUCUCUUAUACA
rnacentral:rRNA from 1 species